AGUGAACGCUGGCGGCGUGCCUAAUACAUGCAAGUCGAACGGAGUGGCGCACGGGUGAGUAAUAUAUAGCUAAUCUGCCCCUUGCUGGAGGACAACAGUUAGAAAUGAUUGCUAAUACUCCAUAGCAAGGGAUGAGACUAAAUCGUAUCAGCUAGUAGGUGGGGUAACGGCCUACCGAGGCUAUGACGCGUAACUGGUCUGAGAGGAUGAUCAGUCACAUUGGAACUGAGACACAGUCCAACUACCUACGGGAGGCAGCAGUAAGGAAUAUUGCGGAAAGGGGGAAACCCUGACGCAGCAACGCCGCGUGGAGGAUGAUACUUUUCGGAGCGUAAACUCCUUUUGUUAGGUAAGCGGUACCUAACGAAUAAGCACGGGCUAACGCCGUGCCAGCAGCCGCGGAAAUAC
rnacentral:rRNA from 1 species